CGCACGGGCAGGGGUAACUCUGUCAGUGGCGGACGGGUGAGUAACGCGUAGGUAUCUAUCCUUGGGUGGGGGACAACUGUGGGAAACUACAGCUAAUACCGCAUGAUAACUGAGGUUUAAAGGCGCAAGUCGCCUGGGGAGGAGCCUGCGUACGAUUAGCUAGUUGGUGGGGUAAAGGCCUACCAAGGCUGCGAUCGUUAGCUGGUCUGAGAGGAUGAUCAGCCACAUUGGGACUGAGACACGGCCCAAACUCCUACGGGAGGCAGCAGUGGGGAAUAUUGGACAAUGGGCGAAAGCCUGAUCCAGCAAUGCCGCGUGUGUGAAGAAGGUCUUCGGAUUGUAAAGCACUUUCGACGGGGACGAUGAUGACGGUACCCGUAGAAGAAGCCCCGGCUAACUUCGUGCCAGCAGCCGCGGUAAUACGAAGGGGGCUAGCGUUGCUCGGAAUGACUGGGCGUAAAGGGCGCGUAGGCGGAUGGCACAGUCAGAUGUGAAAUUCCCGGGCUUAACCUGGGGGCUGCAUUUGAUACGUGUUGUCUAGAGUGAGGAAGAGGGUUGUGGAAUUCCCAGUGUAGAGGUGAAAUUCGUAGAUAUUGGGAAGAACACCGGUGGCGAAGGCGGCAACCUGGUCCUUGACUGACGCUGAGGCGCGAAAGCGUGGGGAGCAAACAGGAUUAGAUACCCUGGUAGUCCACGCUGUAAACGAUGUGUGCUGGAUGUUGGGCGACCUA
rnacentral:rRNA from 1 species